CACGGAGUUAGCCGAUCCUUAUUCUCACAGUACCGUCAAGCUCCGACACGUCGGAGUGUUUCUUCCUGUGCAAAAGCAGUUUACAAUCCAUAGGACCGUCAUCCUGCACGCGGCAUGGCUGGUUCAGGCUUGCGCCCAUUGACCAAUAUUCCUCACUGCUGCCUCCCGUAGGAGUCUGGUCCGUGUCUCAGUACCAGUGUGGGGGAUCUCCCUCUCAGGACCCCUACCCAUCGUCGCCUUGGUAAGCCAUUACCUUACCAACUAGCUAAUGGGACGCAUGCUCAUCUUUCACCGUUGUGACUUUAAUUAUAAAAUGAUGCCAUCUUAUAAUGCUAUGAGGUAUUAAUCCAAAUUUCUCUGGGCUAUCCCUCUGUGAAAGGCAGAUUGCAUACGCGUUACGCACCCGUGCGCCGGUCUCAAGGCCCGAAAGCCUCUACCCCUCGACCUUUGCAUGUGUUAAGCCUGCCGCUAGCGUUCAU
rnacentral:rRNA from 1 species